GAUGAACGCUGGCGGCGUGCCUAAUACAUGCAAGUCGAGCGAACAGAUGAGGAGCUUGCUCCUCUGACGUUAGCGGCGGACGGGUGAGUAACACGUGUAUAACCUACCUAUAAGACUGGGAUAACUUCGGGAAACCGGAGCUAAUACCGGAUAAUAUAUUGAACCGCAUGGUUCAAUAGUGAAAGACGGUUUUGCUGUCACUUAUAGAUGGAUCCGCGCCGCAUUAGCUAGUUGGUAAGGUAACGGCUUACCAAGGCAACGAUGCGUAGCCGACCUGAGAGGGUGGUCGGCCACACUGGAACUGAGACACGGUCCAGACUCCUACGGGAGGCAGCAGUAGGGAAUCUUCCGCAAUGGGCGAAAGCCUGACGGAGCAACGCCGCGUGAGUGAUGAAGGUCUUCGGAUCGUAAAACUCUGUUAUUAGGGAAGAACAAAUGUGUAAGUAACUAUGCACGUCUUGACGGUAACUAAUCAGAAAGCCACGGCUAACUACGUG
rnacentral:rRNA from 1 species